UACGUAGGGUGCAAGCGUUAAUCGGAUUUACUGGGCGUAAAGAGCGCGCAGGCGGUCGUUCAAGUCGAGUGUGAAAGCCCCCGGCUCAACUGGGGAGGGUCACUUGAUACUGAUCGACUCGAAGGCAGGAGAGGGAAGCGGAAUUCCCGGUGUAGUGGUGAAAUGCGUAGAUAUCGGGAGGAACACCAGUGGCGAAGGCGGCUUCCUGGCCUGUUCUUGACGCUGAGGCGCGAAAGCUAGGGGAGCAAACGGG
rnacentral:rRNA from 1 species